rnacentral:rRNA from 1 species
AUUGAACGCUGGCGGCAGGCCUAACACAUGCAAGUCGAACGAGCGGCGGACGGGUGAGUAAUGUCUGGGAAACUGCCUGAUGGAGGGGGAUAACUACUGGAAACGGUAGCUAAUACCGCAUACCAUCAGAUGUGCCCACAUGGGAUUAGCUAGUUGGUGGGGUAACGGCUUACCAAGGCGACGAUCCCUAGCUGGUCCGAGAGGAUGACCAGCCACACUGGGAGUGAGACACGGUCCAGACUCCUACGGGAGGCAGCAGUGGGGAAUAUUGCACAAUGGGCGCAAGCCUGAUGCAGCCAUGCCGCGUGUAUGAAGAAGGCCUUCGGGUUGUAAAGUACUUUCAGUGGGGAGGCGUUACCGACAGAAGAAGCACCGGCUAACUCCGUGCCAGCAGCCGCGGUAAUAC